GAUGAAGAACGUAGCGAAAUGCGAUACGUAAUGUGAAUUGCAGAAUUCAGUGAAUCAUCGAAUCUUUGAACGCAUAUUGCGCUCUCUGGUAUUCCGGAGAGCAUGCUUGUUUGAGUAUCAGUAAACACCUCAACUCCCUUUCUUCUUGAAAUGGAGCUGGACUUGAGUGAUCCCAACGCUUUAUUCAUAAAGUGGCGGGUUACUUGAAAUGCAGGUGCAGCUGGCCUUUUCUCUGAGCUAUAAGCAUAUCUAUUUAGUCUGCCUCAAAACAGAUUAUUACCUUUGCUGCAGCUAACAUAAAGGAGAUUAGUUCUUGUGCUGACUGAUGCAGGAUUCACAAAGACCGCUUCGGCUGUCUUUGUAAACUCGAUCUCAAAUCAAGUAAGGCUACCCGCUGAACUUAAGCAUAUCAAUAAGCGGAGGA
rnacentral:misc_RNA from 1 species